rnacentral:sRNA from 1 species
AUGAGAAGCUUCGACUAAGGUUCGAUUCGAGCGAAAGCUAGAAAGCGUUGCCGCAGGCAACGACCCGAAGGGCGAAACGCGCAGCGCUGAGUCAUCCUUCCCCCACCACCA